UACAGAGGGUGCAAGCGUUACUCGGAAUUACUGGGCGUAAAGCGUGCGUAGGCGGUUAUUUAAGUCCGCUGUAAAAGUCCAGGGCUCAACCCUGGAACGCCGGUGGAUACUGUCGGGCUAGAGUCCGGAAGAGGCGAGUGGAAUUCCUGGUGUAGCGGUGGAAUGCGCAGAUAUCAGGAGGAACACCGAUGGCGAAGGCAGCUCGCUGGGACGGUACUGACGCUGAGGCGCGAAAGCGUGGGGAGCAAACAGG
rnacentral:rRNA from 1 species